rnacentral:rRNA from 1 species
GUAACUUUUGGUGCUUGCACCGAAAGACGAGUGGCGAACGGGUGAGUAACGCGUAUGCAAUCUGCCUUUUACUAGAGUAUAGCCCAGAGAAAUUUGGAUUAAUCCUCUAUAAUAUCAUUAAUUCGCAUGAAUAUAUGAUUAAAGCUUCGGCGGUAAAAGAUGAGCAUGCGUCCUAUUAGUUAGUAGGUGAGGUAAUGGCUCACCUAGACUACGAUAGGUAGGGGUCCUGAGAGGGAGAUCCCCCACACUGGUACUGAGACACGGACCAGACUCCUACGGGAGGCAGCAGUGAGGAAUAUUGGACAAUGGACGAAAGUCUGAUCCAGCUAUGCCGCGUGCAGGAUGACGGCCCUAUGGGUUGUAAACUGCUUUUAUACAGGAAGAAAACCUCCGACGUGUCGGAGCUUGACGGUACUGUAAGAAUAAGGAUCGGCUAACUCCGUGCCAGCAGCCGCGGUAAUACGGAGGAUCCAAGCGUUAUCCGGAAUCAUUGGGUUUAAAGGGUCCGUAGGCGGUUUUUUAAGUCAGAGGUGAAAUCCUGCAGCUCAACUGUAGAAUUGCCUUUGAUACUGAAAGACUUGAGUUAUUGUGAAGUGGUUAGAAUGUGUGGUGUAGCGGUGAAAUGCAUAGAUAUCACACAGAAUACCAAUUGCGAAGGCAGAUCACUAACAAUAUACUGACGCUCAGGGACGAAAGCGUGGGUAGCGAACAGGAUUAGAUACCCUGGUAGUCCACGCCGUAAACGAUGGAUACUAGCUGUAUGUCUGCCUCAGGUAGAUGUGUGGCCAAGCGAAAGUGAUAAGUAUCCCACCUGGGGGAGUACGAUCGCAAGAUUGAAACUCAAAGGAAUUGACGGGGGCCCGCACAAGCGGUGGAGCAUGUGGUUUAAUUCGAUGAUACGCGAGGAACCUUACCAGGGCUUAAAUGUAACGGGACAGAUCUAGAGAUAGAUCCUUCUUCG